GUGUCAGCAGCCGCGGUAAUACGUAGGGUGCAAGCGUUGUCCGGAAUUAUUGGGCGUAAAGAGCUCGUAGGCGGUUCGUCGCGUCGGCUGUGAAAUCCCGAGGCUCAACCUCGGGCCUGCAGUCGAUACGGGCGGACUUGAGUUCGGCAGGGGAGACUGGAAUUCCUGGUGUAGCGGUGAAAUGCGCAGAUAUCAGGAGGAACACCGGUGGCGAAGGCGGGUCUCUGGGCCGAAACUGACGCUGAGGAGCGAAAGCGUGGGGAGCGAACAGGAUUAGAUACCCUGGUAGUCCACGCCGUAAACGUUGGGCGCUAGGUGUGGGGCUCAUUCCACGAGUUCCGUGCCGCAGCUAACGCAUUAAGCCCUCCGCCUGGGGAGUACGGUCGCAAGAUUAAAACUCAAAGGAAUUGGCGGGG
rnacentral:rRNA from 1 species